GCCUUGUGUUCUGGUAAGAAUCUUCACCAU
rnacentral:piRNA from 1 species